UGUGUGUGUGUGUGUGUGUGUGAAACAUACAUAACAUAUAUAAUGAUAUAACUGAUGGGAAAAGUUACUACUGAGUAGAAUUAGGCCUCUGUGAUGAUAAAAAUUUCAUGUAGAUCUGAGGCCCGGUAACUAAAAAAGUUAUGCAACACACACACAUUGUAGGAGCUCGAAAAAAAGAAGACCAAGGUAGAGAAAGAAAUAAAAAAUUGCCAAUCUGAAGUAUGGAAACUGGUUGCCCUGCAGAAGGAGCAGAUAGAAAGUCUGCAAGAACAAAACGAAACACUGAAGAAAGAAAAAGAGGAAUUAUUACAGAAGUGCAAGUGCGGAAGUAGAUGGACAACUCCUCAUUGGAACCACGAUUAUACUCCCAGUCACCGUCAGCCACUUAGACAGCAGACACCACCAUCCAAGAAAGUGCAUUGUUAUGAAAAAUGUCCUGACGCAGACGCAGUGGUCUCUGCCAGCCGACAACUCAUGGCCCGAGUGAUGGAGAACUUACACCAGAAAUACAGGGUGGACCUUCACUCUGAACCGUGGCGCCAGGGGGCGCAGUGCGAAGAAAGCCCCAUCCUGGUUUUCUGCCUGCACUCGUCUCGUCUUGGUACAGACGUAGACCAAUCUUUAAAAGAAUUCAGCAGAGCUGACACAAGCGCCAUUAUCCUGAUAGUUUUCCACCACGUGGCCCCUCACGCCGACUUCGGCAACUCCACCGACUCCACUCUGUCCCUAACAAGACAGGG